rnacentral:rRNA from 1 species
AUUGAACGCUGGCGGCAUGCUUUACACAUGCAAGUCGAACGGUAACAGGCCUUCGGGUGCUGACGAGUGGCGAACGGGUGAGUAAUGCAUCGGAACGUACCCAGAGGUGGGGGAUAACGCAGCGAAAGCUGUGCUAAUACCGCAUGUGAUCUGAGGAUGAAAGCGGGGGACCGAGCAGCAAUGUUUGGCCUCGCGCCUUUGGAGCGGCCGAUGUCGGAUUAGCUAGUUGGUGGGGUAAAGGCCUACCAAGGCGACGAUCCGUAGCUGGUCUGAGGGGACGACCAGCCACACUGGGACUGAGACACGGCCCAGACUCCUACGGGAGGCAGCAAUGGGGAAUUUUGGACAAUGGGCGCAAGCCUGAUCCAGCAAUGCCGCGUGCGGGAAGAAGGCCUUCGGGUUGUAAACCGCUUUUGGCAGGAACGAAACGGUGUCCGCUAAUACCGGGCGCUAAUGACGGUACCUGCAGAAUAAGCACCGGCUAACUACGUG